rnacentral:lncRNA from 1 species
UAUAGAACUCAAAUUAUGAGAAAGAUGUAUGAGCUACACAGAACUUACAAAUAUCUACUCCAUUUUAUCUGCCCUGCGAUAUAACUACGAAUGACUGACUGAGUGUCAUCCCUUGAUUACCGUGUCAUGAGAAUGAUUAAAGUGAGAGAGAGAGAGAGAGAGAGAGAGAGAGAGAGAGACUGAUAUGGGAAUUGGUACAACUUCCAUGAUCAGCGUGGCGGCGGCGCGGUGUUCAGUGUUCAUUGGCUUAGUCAGGUUGUCAGUUAAGAUGUCUUCAUUCAACGGUGCUUCCUUGAUGUUUAUCUUCUUUUUUGUUCUCUUCUAUUAUUGUCUUUCCUUUUUCAUCCAAAGAUCGAUAUAAUAUUUGUUUAGCUCAUUGCCAACUAGCAUGUUUCACGUUUUGUUACAAUUUUUCCUCCACUGUCAUCCUCCCUUCCCAUUUCCGCCUCUGCCUGCUCCAAGGAAUAUACCAGGUUUAGAAUCCUUGGCCUGGUCUCACUUUCUCACAUGACAUCAUGACACUCAAACACUGCAGAGCGCUAGACUGGGGAUCGGAACUUUUUUUGUCAUGGUUUCACGUUCCUCCUGUUUUCAUUCAAGUUCCUUUGGUGGUUCAGUGGUUCAGUCAUGUCAUUCAGGUGGCGACGCUGCUUCAUGGAAGUAUCACACGUUUUGGUAGCCCUAUGAGUGACUGUCCCUGCCUCCUUGAGUUUGGGCCUCUUGCUGAUGUGUUAACUUCAUCCUCGCCGGACCUAGCGACCUAUGAAUACCUCACAGCACACAUGCAUCACCAAGAUAGAGAGGCGAGGCGAGGCAAGGCAAGGCGAGGCUGGAGUGGUACUGUACUAUAUGGCCGUGUGCAAGGGAGAGAUGAGAAAUGAGUACGUGGGAAGGAGAGUGCAGGAGGCGGACCCACGAAGCAGGAAGAGGAGACGGAGACCAAAGAGGAGGUUUAUGGAUGCAUUAAAGCGGCUGAUGGGUGUAACACGAGAAGACACGCAAGACCGAAUAGGAUGGAAGCGAGUGAUUCACCGAUACCUUAAGAGAAACAGCAACCCCCACACACACACAAAAAAAAAAAAAAAAAAAGAAAGAAGGUGAACGACGAUAAUAAAUAUGAGAAAUGGAAAUAGAAAAACGAAACCAAAAAAAUAAGAAACUAGAUGAAGAAUGAUAAAUUGAAAAAGUAGAUGAUGAUGAAAAAAAAAAACUAUAGUAAUAAUGAUAAUGACAAUAAACAAUAACAUUAAUAGUGACAAUAAUAACUACAACAAUAAUGAUAAGUAAGAAAAGUAAAAGAGGAAGAUAAAGAUUGAAUAUACAUAAUUUCAGUUAUAAGCCUAAUUUUCCAAGGCAUUAUUUAUAAAUCACAUCAUAUCCGUUCAUUCCUGCUUGAUAAAUGAACUUAAUUGCCCUUAUUUAUUUAUUCAUUUAUUUAUUUAUUAGUUAGAACAACAUAUCAUCUCAAGGGAUUUUAAUAGGUAGGCUACAUAUCAUAGGCCAGCCUAGACUAGUGAAGUGUCAGUUAAGCCACACCUUUCUCAAUCCUUUUCCAUAUCCGUCUUCCCAUCCUCCACUCUCUCGAUCCUUGUUACUGCCUGUCUCACACCUCCUGCCUACCACUAUCCUUCACUGCCACUGUGUGUGUGUGUGUGUGUGUGUGUGUGUGUGUGUGUGUGUGUGUGUAGGGGAAUAGAGAAGGUGAAGGAAGAAUGAGAAGUAUGGGGGUGGGGAAGAGGGACGGGACAGGGGGAUGUGGAGGGGGAGAGAAAGAAAGCAACCUGUUAUGUACUUCAGAGGCAGCUCUAACCAACGACAUUUGCCUUGAGAGAGAGUAAGAAAAAAUGACAGAUGUUACUUUAGUUAGAAAUAGAAGAAAGAAAACUGCCUGCCAAUUGUACUUUAAAAAAAUGUCUACUUUCAAUU